rnacentral:rRNA from 1 species
UACGGAGGGUGCGAGCGUUGUUCGGAAUCACUGGGCGUAAAGCGCGUGUAGGCGGCCCAUUAAGUCUGAUGUGAAAGCCCGGGGCUCACCCCCGGAAGUGCAUUGGAAACUGAUGGACUCGAGUCCCGGAGAGGAGAGUGGAAUUCCUGGUGUAGCGGUGAAAUGCGUAGAUAUCAGGAGGAACACCGGUGGCGAAGGCGGCUCUCUGGACGGUGACUGACGCUGAGACGCGAAAGCGUGGGGAGCGAACGGG